rnacentral:rRNA from 1 species
UUAAACCACCCUUCUAUUCGAAAUGAACCUGAUCUCAUCUGAUUUUGCAAGCUAAGCAUGGCCAAGAGUGAUUAGUUCUUGGAUGGGAGACUAUCAGAGAAUAUCAGGGCUCUUCAGG